CCUACGGGUGGGCAGCAGUGGGGAAUAUUGGACAAUGGGCGAAAGCCUGAUCCAGCCAUGCCGCGUGUGUGAAGAAGGCCUUCGGGUUGUAAAGCACUUUCAGUGGGGAAGAAAGCCUUGGGGCUAAUACCCUCGAGGAAGGACAUCACCCACAGAAGAAGCACCGGCUAACUCCGUGCCAGCAGCCGCGGUAAUACGGAGGGUGCGAGCGUUAAUCGGAAUUACUGGGCGUAAAGCGCGCGUAGGCGGUCUGAUAAGCCGGUUGUGAAAGCCCCGGGCUCAACCUGGGAACGGCAUCCGGAACUGUCAGGCUAGAGUGCAGGAGAGGAAGGUAGAAUUCCCGGUGUAGCAGUGAAAUGCGUAGAGAUCGGGAGGAAUACCAGUGGCGAAGGCGGCCUUCUGGACUGACACUGACGCUGAGGUGCGAAAGCGUGGGUAGCAAACAGGAUUAGAUACCCCAGUAGUC
rnacentral:rRNA from 1 species